rnacentral:rRNA from 1 species
UACGGGGGGGAGCAAGCGUUGUUCGGAAUCACUGGGCGUAAAGAGCGUGUAGGCGGCUUGGUAGGUCUUGCGUCAAAACCUGAGGCUCAACCUCAGUUCGCGUGGGAAACCAUCUAGCUAGAGUCCGGAAGAGGAGAACGGAAUUCCCAGUGUAGCGGUGAAAUGCGCAGAUAUUGGGAAGAACACCAGUGGCGAAGGCGGUUCUCUGGGACGGUACUGACGCUGAGACGCGAAAGCGUGGGGAGCGAACAGG